UGACCAUAGUCACGAGGGUAAAAGCAGUAUGUAUUCGGAUCUCGACGGCAUUCCAUUCUUGUUCUCAUUAGUCGGAGCUCAGGUAACUUAGGCCCCACUUGUAGCAACACCUCUCUCUGAAGAAUAUUCAGAGGUAUGUAGCUAUCGUACUGCCUAGGAGGUGAUGGUUGUUGACUUCUUCUAGGAGGACUGCAGGAUCGAUGAUUUCGACCUCCAUUAUUUUGCCUCGGGGAUGG
rnacentral:lncRNA from 1 species